rnacentral:rRNA from 1 species
CGGGACGGGUGAGUAAUGUCUGGGAAACUGCCCGAUGGAGGGGGAUAACUACUGGAACGGUAGCUAAUACCGCAUAAUGUCUGCGGACCAAAGCGGGGGACCUCCGGGCCUCGCGCCAUCAGAUGAACCCAUAUGGGAUUAGCUUGUAGGUAAGGUAACGGCUUACCUAGGCGACGAUCCCUAGCUGGUCUGAGAGGAUGAUCAGCCACACUGGAACUGAGACACGGCCCAG